AACGGCCGUACCAUGCUGAAUAUACCGGUUCUCGUUAGAUCACCGAAGUCAAGCAUCAUUGGGCGCGGUCAGUACUUGGGUGGGUGACCACCUAGGAACACCGCGUGCCGUU
rnacentral:rRNA from 1 species